rnacentral:rRNA from 1 species
CGGCAACAGUCAUCGUUGCCUCCUCCUUUAAUCCCCUCUCCUUGACUCCUCCCUUGCCUUAUCUCCCUCUGACUUGCCAUCUUCCAAGCCUCAGGCUCAAGUGCUUCGUCUCCUACUCCACUCGCAUGCACGCACACCAUUACAGAGAAGAAAAAUCUACAGGAGAGAAAGAGCCCCUCCACUAACUCCCUUAAAUCUCCAUCAUUUUCAGUUUUGAAGAUAUCUAGACAUGCUCCACGAUCUCCUCUUCCAACCCGCAGAAACUCCUGUCCUCUCGCUUCUCUGUUCUUCCAAAAUACAUCCACGAAGUGCUGCUGCUCCAUGAACGCCGGUGCUUGUUCCUGGCGACUUCAAGCAUCUCCAUCCAUUCCCAUGUACCAGGUACUUCCCCUCCUCACCAUGGAUCCAUUCAGAGAAGAAAGACAGCGAUCCGUUGACCACACACGAAGAAUUCCGCAUGUUCGUCUACACUGUUCGUCAAGUUCAUCGCACCGCUGCGUCAAACUCGGACGAGUAGGGAGUGACGACAGUGUUGGACAUGGACAGAAACAUGUUACCGAAGAAGGACUCAACAACGAAGAGUUUCAUGAAGACAAAGGUGAUAACUACGACAACUAUGGCGAUCUGUAGGAGUGAGGUCACGUUGACUACAUCGACUGCCUGUGGCUGAGAUGGAGUCGCUAUGCAUUGUACUUUCCGCUGCUUUUAUGUUGUAAUAAAUGUCAUGAGACAUUUCUCUAUGUAUGCCUUGUGUCAAGAUAUAUUUAAAAUUGUAAUACUUUUACGCAUUAUGCAAUGAUAUCAUUUUGAUGUGUUGUCAAC